UACAGAGGUCUCAAGCGUUGUUCGGAUUCAUUGGGCGUAAAGGGUGCGUAGGCGGCGCGGUAAGUCGGGUGUGAAAUCUUGGAGCUUAACUCCGAAACUGCAUUCGAUACUGCCGUGCUUGAGGACUGGAGAGGAGACUGGAAUUUACGGUGUAGCGGUGAAAAUGCGUAGAUAUCGUAAGGAAGACCAGUGGCGAAGGCGGGGUCUCUGGACAUUCCUGACGCUGAGGCACGAAGGCCAGGGGGAGCAAAACGGGG
rnacentral:rRNA from 1 species